rnacentral:rRNA from 1 species
AACGAACGCUGGCGGCAGGCUUAACACAUGCAAGUCGAGCGCCUCGCAAGAGGAGCGGCAGACGGGUGAGUAACGCGUGGGAACGUACCCUUAUCUUCGGAAUAGCUCUGGGAAACUGGAAGUAAUACCGAAUGUGCCCUUAGGGGGAAGGAUUUAUCGGAUAAGGAUCGGCCCGCGUUGGAUUAGCUAGUUGGUGGGGUAAAGGCCUACCAAGGCGACGAUCCAUAGCUGGUCUGAGAGGAUGAUCAGCCACAUUGGGACUGAGACACGGCCCAAACUCCUACGGGAGGCAGCAGUGGGGAAUAUUGGACAAUGGGCGCAAGCCUGAUCCAGCCAUGCCGCGUGAGUGAUGAAGGCCUUAGGGUUGUAAAGCUCUUUCACCGGAGAAGAUAAUGACGGUAUCCGGAGAAGAAGCCCCGGCUAACUUCGUG